rnacentral:rRNA from 1 species
CCUACGGGUGGCAGCAGUGAGGAAUAUUGGUCAAUGGGCGCAAGCCUGAACCAGCCAAGUCGCGUGAGGGAAGACGGUGCUAUGGAUUGUAAACCUCUUUUGUCGGGGGGCAAAAGACGCCACGUGUGCCUUUCCGAGAGUACCCGAAGAAAAAGCAUCGGCUAACUCCGUGCCAGCAGCCGCGGUAAUACGGAGGAUGCGAGCGUUAUCCGGAUUUAUUGGGUUUAAAGGGUGCGCAGGCGGAAGAUCAAGUCAGCGGUAAAAGUGAGAGGCUCAACCUCUGCGAGCCGUUGAAACUGGGUUUCUUGAGUGAGCGAGAGGUAGGCGGAAUGCGGAGUGUAGCGGUGAAAUGCAUAGAU